rnacentral:rRNA from 1 species
UACGGAGGAUGCGAGCGUUAUCCGGAUUUAUUGGGUUUAAAGGGUGCGUAGGCGGUCCGUUAAGUCAGAGGUAAAAUUGCGGGGCUCAACCCCGACGAGCCGUUGAAACUGGCAGACUUGAGUUGGCGAGAAGUACGCGGAAUGCGCGGUGUAGCGGUGAAAUGCAUAGAUAUCACGCAGAACGCCGAUGGCGAAGGCAGCAUGCCGGCUCCACACUGACGCUGAGGCACGAAAGCGUGGGUAUCGAACAGG